AUUGAACGCUGGCGGCAGGCCUAACACAUGCAAGUCGAGCGGAUGAAGGGAGCUUGCUCCUGGAUUCAGCGGCGGACGGGUGAGUAAUGCCUAGGAAUCUGCCUGGUAGUGGGGGAUAACGUCCGGAAACGGGCGCUAAUACCGCAUACGUCCUGAGGGAGAAAGUGGGGGAUCUUCGGACCUCACGCUAUCAGAUGAGCCUAGGUCGGAUUAGCUAGUUGGUGGGGUAAAGGCCUACCAAGGCGACGAUCCGUAACUGGUCUGAGAGGAUGAUCCGUCACACUGGAACUGAGACACGGUCCAGACUCCUACGGGAGGCCGCAGUGGGGAAUAUUGGACGAUGGGCCAAAGCCUGAUCCAGCCAUGCCGCGUGUGUGAAGAAGGUCUUCUGAUUGUAAAGCACUUUAAGUUGGGAGGAAGGGCAGUAAGUUAAUACCUUGCUGUUUUGACGUUACCAACAGAAUAAGCACCGGCUAACUUCGUG
rnacentral:rRNA from 1 species